UUCGCCGGAUGGAUAGUCGCUCGCGCAAGCGGGAGGAAAGUCCGGUCUCCACAGGGCAGCGCGCCGGCUAACGGCCGGGGGGAUCCGUUGGAAAGCGGGUUCUACGGAAAGUGCCACAGAAAAUAUACCGCCUCCGGCGCAAGCCUUGGGGUAAGGGUGAAAAGGUGCGGUAAGAGCGCACCGCGGCUCGAGCAAUCGGGACGGCAGGGAAAACCCCGCGCGGAGCAAGACCAAAUAGGGGAGGAGGAGCGGCUCGCUCCGUCUGACUUCCGGGUAGGUUGCUAGAGCCGGCCAGCGAUGGCCGGUCGAGAUGAAUGACUAUCGCCCGCAAGGGUACAGAAACCGGCUUAUAGUCGCGGCGAACUGC
rnacentral:RNase_P_RNA from 1 species